rnacentral:lncRNA from 1 species
UAGUAAUAAUGGCAGUGACACCCUUCAGAAUAAGGAAGGAAAAAAAGGAUAGUUGGCAUUAGGGAGAAAAUGCAUGACACGUAUAUUCUUGCAAAGAAAGAUAAGGCGUAAACAUUUGUAAAUUACAAAUUCUUUGGGUAAGAAACACCAUGAAGUUACCUAAGCUUAGUUGAUGUGGGGAAAUGAAAAAUGAUUGAUCUUCAAUGCUUCACUUGAAAAUUCGGAAACCCUUUUGAAACACACAUGUGAUUAGACUAACUGAAAAAUGUACUUAUCAGUACAUAGAACAUGAUAAAAGGAGGUACAAAAUUCUCAAUUAUCCUUGGAAUAAAAGGAAUGGAGAACUAACAUGUCUCUACAGGAAAGAAGUUACAAACGGAAGCUGAAUUUCAUUAUCCUUGAAAGUUACAAUCUGGAAAAGUAAUCUGUUGUUUCUGUGUGUUUCAACUGUUUGUUGAACUGUUGUGAAGAAGAUUUCCAACAAGACCAUACACAAAGACAAGGAACAUACAAAAGAGGAUUUUUGUUGUUUCAACUGCUAGUUAAAACCAUUGAAAAUCCAAGAAAGUAUGAGUAUAGAAGCAUGUUUGAGCUUCUUUACAAACUUAUUCUGCAGAUUUAAACCUUCUUUACAACUGAAAGUAAUGACACAAAGUAUCACUGGGAAACCAAUGGAACAGCUUCAUUGGGGAGCCUUCUUUACAGCUAAUAAAGAAAUAGAAGAGUUCCCUCACGGUACUAUUCCUUUGAGUUGGAAAAUUCUGUUGCAUUUGGACCCUUGAUAAUAAAAAGGGAAAUAUGUUAGUUGGUACAUAAGAUGUGUUCAUAUGUGGGUUCAAAAAUGAUUGCCUUGAAAUCUUUAUUUGAACAUGCGGAAACCCUGUUGAAGCAGAAAUAAUUUGAAAUUAAUUGCAACCUACGCACCAAGGAAAACAAGUGUCUACCAAAGAAAUUAUGGUCUGCUGUACUUGCGAUAAAUAGAAGUAGGGAUUUUACAUGUCUCUGCAGGAAAGAAGUUACAAAUGGCAGCUGAAUUUCAUUGUCCUUGCAAGUGACAAUCUCGAAAAGCAAUUUCUCAUGUAGACCUUGUAGAUCAUCCUUCAGAAUUCAAGGAAAGUUACAGUUCAAUUUAUGUUAUGUUCCGAAGAAUCAGGAAAAUGGAAUGGAACUGUUUUCGUGGGAGAAAUUAGGGGCAGGGGGUACUUACAUUAGAGAAACCCUCCAUUCCAAGACCUCUGUAGUUGCUAAGAUAUGAAGAAGGAAAACUCUUGAGUCAUACCUGUACAAAAAAAGAAAGACAUGGAAAUUCCAGACAUUUCAAAACACUUUCUAUCUUUUAUUGAGAGUAUAGAACAAAGAAGUUGUUCAUCACUCAUAUAAAAGCACAUGAGAGAGUUCCAAAAAAUAGAGAAGGCACCUGAAAUUGACUUUCAGAGCUGGUAGAAAUCUCGACUCAAAAUUUCCUAUGCUAAAAGUAGUAUUUCCGUAUGUAGCAGCAAACAAAGGCUUGAAGUUGUAGAUCACGGCAAUAAUUGUAGGCAGAAAUGCAUCGCCACUGUAGUACAGGUUCAUGAUGUAAAAAAAUCCGCUCUAAAGAAACAUUUUCCAAGGAACAUUAUUCAAGUGUUAUUCAAGGAACAUAAUUCAAGUAUUUAGGGGGAACAUUAUUCGGUGAACAAUUUCCAAGGAACAUUAUUUAGGAAACAUUAUUGAAAGGGGCAUAAUUUAGGGAUCAAAUAUUGAAGGAACAAUUUUGCAGGGAACAUUAUUGGCGGAACAUUAUUUAGGGAACUAUUUCCAAGGAACAUUAUUUAGGAAACAAAUAUUAAAGGAACAAUUUUGUAGGGAACAUUAUUGGAGGCAUACAAAAAAUUGAGCGAAAAACUUUAUCAAAGGAACAUUCCCAAAUAUAACGUUAUUAGGGAAACAUUAUUCAAGUAUUUAGGGAACAUUAUGUAGAGAACAUUUUUGAAGAAACAUUAUUUAUAGACCAAAUAUUGAAGGAACAAUUUUGUAGGGAACAUUAUAGAAGGAACAAUUUGAAGUGAACAUUAAAGAAAUUAGGGAAACUUUUUUCAAGUAUCAUUAUUUAGCGAACACUAUUUGAACAAAGGGUCCAAAAUAUUGAAGAAACAUUAUUCAAAGGAACAUUUCGAAAUGAACAUUAUUAGGGGACAUUAUUCAAGUAUUUAGGGGGCACUAUUUAGGGAACAGUUUCAAAGGAAAAUUAUUUAUGAAACAAAAAAAUUAAAAGAACAAUUUUGUAGGGAACAUUAUUGGCGGAAUACUAUUGGCGGAACAUUAUUUAGGGAUCACAAAAUAUUGAGCGGAAAACUUUGUCGAAGAAAUAGUUCCAAGUGAACACUAUUAGGGGACAUAAUUCAAGUAUUUAGGGAACAUUAUUCGGUGAACAAUUUCCAAGGAACAUUAUUUAGGAAACAUUAUUGAAAGGGGCAUAAUUUAGGGACCAAAUAUUGAAGGAACAAUUUUGUAGGGAUCAUUAUUGGCGGAACAUUAUUUAGGGAACUAUUUCCAAGGAACAUUAUUCAAGUGUUAUUCAAGGAACAUAAUUCAAGUAUUUAGGGAACAUUAUUCGAUGGACAAUUUCCAAGGAACAUUAUUUAGGGAACAUAUUGAAAGGGGCAUAAUUUAGGGAUCAAAUAUUGAAGGAACAAUUUUGUAGGGAACGUUAUUGGCGGAACAUUUUCCAAGGAACAUUAUUGAAUGAACAUUUCGAAGUGAACAUUAUUAGGGGACAUAAUUCAAGUAUGUAGAGAAACAUUUUCCAAGGAACAUUAUUCAAGUGUUAUUCAAGGACCAUAAUUCAAGUAUUUAGAAUCACUGAUAGUUGUGCUAUUCACAGAAGAAAGCAUGAUAAUGAAAACAUUAAAUACAUUAGGAUAGAAAAAAGGUCAACAAACUAUAUCAAUGAUAGUAAAAAGAUCAAACAACUAUGUUAGUACUUAAAAGGGAUUGCUAGACAAGUUCUGCUUUUGUGUGUGUGCCCAAACAAAUAAGAGCUAAGCAACACAGAGGACAAGAACACCAUGAAUAAUCAUGUUAUGAUAAUACUUGCAAGGAAAAUGAUACAGAAGUAUGGUAGAUGAAUGACACCAUACUACAAAAUCAUUGUUAACUAACUAUGUCCACCCAAAAUGCUGCAAUUAACCACAGAAUUCUUAUCUGUAUAAUUUCACAAAUAUAGUGUGAAAAAAAUGGUAGUACUGCUCCUAGAGCAACAGAGGAAAUUACCUAAAACACCAGAACACUCUACUGUGCAUGCAAAGGACUAUUUACGGCAUCAAAUGCAAAUUAAAGAAAACUUUUCAACAUUAAAAAAACAAAGUCGUGCGGGUAGGAUGCAACACAUGCAUCGUUUAUCAAUACAAACAUGUGAAUAAAUUCAUGGCCUAGCAUUUACAAAACUACUCCAGCCUAUAAUAUGGACAAGCGACCUAAAUGUUAAUAGAUGCUUGCUUACCAACGGCUGAAUAGAAGAAAACCUAAUAUACAUGCUAACAAGUCUCAAGAACUAAUCCAUGUUGCUGCUACAAAAUACGUAAAAUAAACGUAAGAUUUUUAAAACAUAGAAAAACUUCUACGUCAACCUACACAAACCACCCUACGAUCAUCAAAAAACAAAAACAAAAAUCCCAAGGCCAAGUGCCAGAAUACACAACCUCCUAACAAUAGCAUACUGAAUCAUACCUCUGAAUCCGAAAUCUCUAAACACAACCCCUUGUCUAAUCUCAGAAAUAUCCAAAUCAAAUAAAAAACGCUCCACAUGACAUUAUGCACGGAUUCAGGAGUCCAGAUGUUCAGUUGAGUUCAUAUUUCAGUCUAUGUAUGUCCCUACCGCUGCUUAUCCACGGGACUACGGGGCCGGCCAUACGUGGUAGUAGCACCCUGGAGCCUCACGUCCACGCCCCUACCCCCUGUGCAGGAUGGGCUGCAGAAGAACAAAGCACAACACAUUCAGAAAUCAGAAACCAACCAGAACUCACACAUUCAGAAAGUAAACAUAAUUCAAACCAAAACAUGAGACAAGCUAUAGUGUAUGAAAACAAAGCUGGCCUAGUUGCGCAGCUCAUCACACAAGCAUCAUCAUUCAUCACGGCAUGUCAUGUGCAUGUCGAAUGGGAUCUGAGUUCAGCCUGGUACUUACAUGCCUCAUUUCAGAACUUUCCUUCUGAGAGAAUUCAGUUUUGUUUAGUACGUAGAAGACUUUUUUUAGGGAAGAAGACUUGCUACCUUCCAAGGCGGAAAUCAAGCUCGGGAUGCCGAGGACAACUUCUGGCUUACAAUCCAAACGAGCUCCACUCCCCGUCGCUGCCUCCGCCCAUCGCACCUGCCGCCGGCAAAGGGGUGAACACAAUCAGAUGGGAGCGUCGGUGCAGGUGACGCUGCAGAGCGGCGCGUACGGGGAUGGACCUUGUCAACGCUGAGCAAGGUCCAUAACAGGAGAAUUUGGGCGCGUUUACCUUGUCGACGCCGAGCUUGACGAAGCUUGACGGGGGCCUAGACUACGCCGACUUUGUCAGAACCCUAGACGACGCCGACCUUGUCGGAACCCUAGACGACGCAGACGCCGCCGCUGGAGACACCGGCGACCUGCAAAUAAACAUCCAACGCGACAAAGUCAGCCAGAUCUGAUGCGGUGGCGCGUAUGAAAAGGAAGCACAGCGACCCAGCGGCGCCUUACGAGAUCGGCGUUCUCUUGCCGGAGUAGGAUCCCGGAGGAAGAAGCAGGUGAUAAAAGCGGUCGAACGACGGAGGAAAAGGGGAUCCAGGCACGAAGGAGAAAGGGAAAGCUUCUCUGUAGACAACGAAUGAAGCGGUCGAGGGAGGAAGGGGGACAGCGAACAGGAAAUAAACAGGCCGGCCCAAACGAGUCAAAGGGGUGUGCGGUACCUCGACAAUUUGAUGCAAAACGCGUCAAAUAGGAUAUUCCAAGUAGGGGUGCCCCCUUUUUAGGCAAAAGUUUC